rnacentral:rRNA from 1 species
CCUACGGGAGGCAGCAGUGAGGAAUAUUGGUCAAUGGGCGCGAGCCUGAACCAGCCAUGUCGCGUGAAGGAUGACGGCCCUACGGGUUGUAAACUUCUUUUGUAAAAGAAUAAAGUGAGGCACGCGUGCCUUUUUGUAUGUACUUUAUGAAUAAGGAUCGGCUAACUCCGUGCCAGCAGCCGCGGUAAUACGGAGGAUUCGAGCGUUAUCCGGAUUUAUUGGGUUUAAAGGGUGCGUAGAUGGGUUGUUAAGUUAGUUGUGAAAGUUUGCGGCUCAACCGUAAAAUUGCAAUUGAUACUGGCAGUCUUGAGUACAGUUGAGGUAGGCGGAAUUCGUGGUGUAGCGGUGAAAUGCUUAGAGAUCACGAAGAACUCCGAUUGCGAAGGCAGCUUACUAAACUGCCACUGACAUUGAUGCUCGAAAGUGUGGGUAGCAAACAGGAUUAGAUACCCCAGUAGUC